AUGAAUUGCAUGAGUUGGAACUGUCGGGGGGGCAACAAACUGACAGUUCACGACUUAGUUGGCAUGGUGAAGGCAACACAGACAAAAAUUUUGUUUUUAUGUGAGACUAGACAGAGUUUAGAAAAAAUAAAAAGAUUUCGUACUAGGUUAGGCGUUAGAGGUUUCUCAGGUGUCAGUAGUAAUGGGUUGAGUGGUGGCCUUGCUCUUUUCUGGUGUGAUAGUCUGCAUGUUGAAGUUCAAUCAUCGAAUGGCAGAUAUGUGCGGCUGUCUGAGCAUGAUCCUUUGUGGCGGUUGACAUGUGUGUAUGGGGAACCAUGCACUGAAAAUCUACAUCUGAUGUGGACUCUCAUGACAAGCCUUAAACAACAAUCUGAUCUCCCUUGGUGUGUUAUGGGUGAUUUUAAUGAGGCCAUGUGA
rnacentral:rRNA from 1 species